GAUUCCUUCCCAGAUGAGAAGGGCCUACUGCUUCCCUCUUCCCUAACCUCUCUUAAGAUCGAAGAUUUUAAAAAUCUGAAAUCAAUAUCCAGGGGCAUUCACCAUCUCACCUCUCUUGGUGAUUUAAGAAUUGGAGAUUGCCCUAAACUCCAGUCCUUUCCCAAGGAGGGCCUUCCGACCACACUUGAAUGGUUGAAUAUCUUCGAGUGUCCCCUCCUGGAAAGACGAUGCAGAAAAGAGAAAGAAGACUAUUGGCGCUUUAUUGCCAAUAUCCCCUACCAUUCUAUAAUAUGAGGUCUGCAAAAACCGGGACUGCUUAGGCCAGAACUCAGAGACUCUCAUAAUCGUCUCAAAACCAAUCCCUGGUGGUAAGUAUAAAACUUUCAUGGAUUAUUUUCGAUGUUUUUGGUUUCUACAAUCUACGACUGUAAUUUUAUAAAGACUGCUAUUAGGUAAGCGUGCAAAGUUUGGUGAGAUACUCCAAAUUUUCAAUUGAUGUUUUAUUUUCAGAUGUUAUUCAGGCAGGUAUUUUCACUUAGCAUUUCUAAUCCUAGGAGGGGUGUAUGGGGGAGGCCUGUUGGUCGGGUUUAGAUGGAUUAGUUAUGUUAAGUUUUGCCUGGAUGAUGUUUUUAAUAAUAAAAUUUAAUUUUCAAAAAAAAAAAAAAAAAAAA